rnacentral:rRNA from 1 species
UACGAAGGGUGCAAGCGUUACUCGGAAUUACUGGGCGUAAAGCGUGCGUAGGUGGUUUGUUAAGUCUGAUGUGAAAGCCCUGGGCUCAACCUGGGAAUUGCAUUGGAUACUGGCAGGCUAGAGUGCGGUAGAGGGUAGUGGAAUUCCCGGUGUAGCGGUGAAAUGCGUAGAUAUCGGGAGGAACAUCAGUGGCGAAGGCGACUAUCUGGACCAAUACUGACGCUGAGGUGCGAAAGCGUGGGGAGCAAACAGG